rnacentral:lncRNA from 12 species
CUUUUUUAUAGGACAGCAAUCUGGAUGAAAUUUAACAAAGGUGUUGCAAUGUUGAGGAGGGAAGAAAUUUCCCUCUACCCCUUGAGGUUCUUCCAGCUGGGCUAAGAAUUAAAUAGGCCUGAGUUUAACAGGAGAAAAUAAAAUUUAAUUUCAUAUGUAUGAGGAACCUACACAGACAUUAGACUCCAAACAUAGACAAAAUGAGAUGUAUAUGUCAUUCUGAACUGAGGAGAAGAGGGUAGUGGUCUGGAACUUCAAGGGAAAGGGAAAUAAUUAACAGGAACAUGAAAAAGAGCAAAUGUUUGGUAAACAAAUGUUUGAUGGGCUUUUCAGAAAUAAUGAGAUAUAGAGAGGAAUUUGAUCAAACAGGUCUUGCUAGGUUCCUCCCUGUCUACCAUACCUAGUUGAUAUUAUAAUGUAAUUAUCCACAUUGGGAGUUGUCUUCUUGGAGCAGGCCCUCUAUCUAGAUUCUUUUAGGCAGUUGAUAUGUGUGGUGGGGAGAGUUUCCAAAAUUUCUUCCUGAGUCUUCUAGUCCUCGAUUGUUUUCAGCUCAAAAUAAUCUCCAUGCCAACAUGGCAUAUCUUGGGGCCUCCUGCCCUCGGCCCCUACAGUAAUUUGAACAAAGGUGGUCACUUGUGAAAGAGAACAGGAAGAAUCCAUAGAUCUAAAGGACUGUGGAAUGGAGGAAUGGGAACAGAGCAACACAGUGGUUUACACUAAAUGCCACACUGGUCUUUUGCGAAAUGGAGUCUUUCCAGCCAAGAACGGGGAUCCCCAUGCCCAGUAUAGACUUGCCUCCUUUAAUGCCUUUGAAAAGAUCCAUUCUCCUGAGUCAUCCAAGAGGACAGAGAACAGUAUGAGCUUUGAGCUGAACAGAAGACUCUCCCUCCUUGGACUGGUGAGAGGUGGCUCUCUAAGUGCCUUAUAUGUUCAACCUUCAAUUAAUUCCACUCACACCAUACCCCCACUGGUAUUGAAGACAAAUAGUGCUGCAGUCUUUGGGUACAGCUUCAGUGUUUACUUCUGGUACAGCCAAGGAUCUACUGCUCAGAAUCUGAGAACUCUAAAAAUUAUUUUGGAGAAGAAAUUUGUGGCUCUCCACCUCUGCUUUCUCUUGGCCACAGAGAAGGAGGGCCGCAGUCAUCAGUAAUGGUUAAGAUAGCCGAAACAAGGAGAGAAAGCAUACAAAGCCAGAAUUCCCCUUUAAUCUGACUUUAGAUACCCUGCUAAGUAAAGUUAAUUGCAACUGUUACUCAUCAAAAAUGGUAGGACAACCCCCAUCUCCCACAACCACCACACCAAUAUCCCCUCAGCCCUUACCAUCCUGCCAACCACUGGUGUCUGCCUCUCUCUGCAUUUGGGCUUUCUCUGGCCUUAAGCUCCUCGACACUUUUACUCUGCCAUACAUACAUACAUGUAGCCAGAAAUGCCCAGAACGAAAUGCCUCCCUAUAAGGAUAGCCUUUGACCAGUUCUGACAGAACUUGGUAUGUAAAUAUCUUAAUGUCCUUGUCCCUCAGUUGGGAUGUCUCUGAGGUGUUGUUCUGCUCUGAGUCCAGGGUCCCUAGUGAGAUUAAAACUACAGUUGCCUACAGUGGUAAUAACACAACUUUCUGUUAGGAUUCCAUUGUUUGUUUCACUUCCCUCCCCCUCUACUGAGUCUCCCUCCUGAGAUCACACCCUCAGUAAACUACUUGCACUUGAAUCUAUGUCUGUGGGUUGACUUCUGAGACAGUUUGGGGAUGCAAACUCUAAAAGAUGCACUGCUUUGUUAGGUCACACACACACACACACACACACACACACACACACAUUCCACCCUCUUUUGUUUUUAAAGAUUUUAUUUAUCCAUUCAUGAGAGAGGCAGAGACACAGGCAGAGGGAGAAGCAGGCUCCAUGCAGGGAGCCCCACGUGGGACUCGAUCCCAGGUCUCCAGGAUCAGGCCCUGGGCUGAAGGCGGCGCUAAACUGCUGAGCCACCCGGGCUGCCCAUCCACCCUCUUUCAUACACUGCCAUUCAUGGACGUUAGCCUUUUGUGGCAGCUUUUCCCUUUUAUGAUUCAAUUUUACUUGAUUUCAUUUGAAUAUAAAUGUCACAGCUGGCCCUUGCCUCAUCCCCCAAAACGUGCAUCAGUUCUCCCUGAACCACGG